ACUACAAUUUCUGUAGGAAAUUAUUUGUAUUUCGAACUUAAAAUUAGUUAGAAGAAUGCAGUACCAAGGACUUUAAUCUCUCUUUUGAGGUGAUAAGAACAUUGCUGUCCUUUUUGUUCAGAUAUACCUUCCUGUUGAUGAUGGAUGAUUCAUAGUUUCAUGGGAAAGGUUUGACAGAUAUUUUCAUGAAUUUGUUUAAGAUGUUGCAACUAAAGUGAAGUCAUGUACAACUGUGCUUUCAUUUAGGAACAGAUUAGAUAAGGUGCCAGUAGGUCUGACGUAGGGAAAACAUCUUGCAUGUUACAUGCCCUAGAUAACCUGAGAAUACUUUCCUGAUCUUAUCAUCUAUGAUUUAAUUAUCACCUAUCAUUCUUCGUAUAUGUUCCUUUUUAAUAUUCAUAUGGCCUUAGCACCCAGAGAUCUCAAUCAGGACUGAAUCCCAGUUGCAGUAGGUGCUGCAUAAGCAUACAUGGUUAUUAGUGUCUCAAUUCAAACACUUCACCAGAAAAACAGUUUCAAGCAAAAAUUGCCUGCAAUCAAACUGAAUUUAAAAAUUAAAAUUGGUAGGAUAAUAUACCUUCCUCAGCACGUAUUCCUAAUUCCUGUUGAGAUUAAUACUUCAUACACACAGAUUUAGAUAUAUAUCUAAUUUAUAAUUUAAACAUUUUUUAAUAUAUGAAAGACAAGCUCAAAUUAGUCAUGCAAUAGUGAUACGGAAGUUGCACACAAAUGAAGAAUACACUUUCUGUGUAUUUACUCUUGUUCUGGUUUGACCUAUACAGAAACUUCUGAAAACACAAACUUGCAACCCAGUCACUCCUUGAUGUUUUCUGCCACAAGCCAUUAGCACUGUUCAUUUUUGUCCCAUGGACGAUCUGUCCAGUGGAAAUAUGACUGAAGCUACAAAUGAUAUGAAAAUCGCAGAAGUGAAUUUAUUAUAGGAAGAUAUAUAAAUUCGUUGGGCGUUUUACUUGUGCUGCUUGGUGCGUGUCCAUGCUAUGAUCUUACUAGAGACGUCAGCUGCCCAAAACUCUGCUUUCAUUUGCCUCCUCGUGCCCCCACUGCCCACGCCAAGGAUGCCUUCGAUUGGCAUCCCUCUGGUCCUCACCCAUACUCUGCAAACUGACACGUCGGUUGAGGACCUGGGGAUGGACGGUGAUUUGGGACAGUGAAAAUCUGUAUCAGGGUGGAAGGAUGUACAGGGAUGAGGUGGCAAAGCAUUUCUCAGAUUCCACUUUACGUGAAAAUUAGGAUGUUGAACAGGAGCUGUCCCAGAACAACUGUAAAGUCGGGGCCGUAGGCUGUCAUAUUUAUUUAGCUGUGGUCUGUUUUCCCCGUGGAAAAUGCCCGCUAAACCUCUCAAAUGCACUUGUACUUUGCUCGCUGCAAAUGAUUCCCUUGGCAUUGCCAUUAAGAGGUGGGAUUGGGCCCCUUGGCGAUACUGCAGGAGAGGUCCCGGGAAGGGUGAAAACUGGAGAUAUAUUUUAGGUUGAUAAGUUGUAAAUUUAUAUGCUUAUAAAAGAGACUUUUAAAAUAUGUUGGAAAUGAUUUUGUGAACAGUCUUUCGUAUUUUUGCUCUGCUUUAUCUAACCUUUAAUAUAUUAACCUCCAGCAAAAGAAGGAAGCAAAGAAGUUCAUUUCUCAGAUGACCCAUAUGAAGGGGUUAAAAGGAUUUAAUAUUUUUAGUAAUCAAAGAAAAGCACACAGUUUAUUCUUCCUUUUAUUCCUCCCUCCUUCUAACGUUCAAAAAAAAAAAAAGUAAACAGCAUCUCCCCAAGGGAGAUUUAGAUUUGAAGACUGUUCAUUAUAUCAUUUGAAUAAGACUAGACCUGGCCUUUUGACUUUGAACCACUACCAAAUUUCAGGCUGUGAGGAAAUUGUUCUACAUUUCCUGACAAAUUGAGUUAAGCAGACAUUAAGUGGGCUUUAAGAAAACAAAUGGCCAUCUUUAUCACAGGUGGACACUGAUGGCUUAAUGGGGCCUGGGCUGAUUGUAUCACUUCUAAUGGCUUGACGGGAAGCAUUAGGGUUUUUGCAUAAAGAACUGGCAUUGCGAACCCUGCUAACACAGACCUGUCAAGCGUUCUGUAUCCCUUUGUGCAUGGAAGCAGAUGUUUGUAUGUAUACUAUGAACUGGCAUUAGAGCAAGCGACAGAUGCCUGUACGAAUGCCAGGUUUGUGAAUUUUUACAGCAGGAGCAUGUUCUGAGGAAGUGCAGCCCUGCCCUCUAUCAUAGGUAAUUCCCAGUGGAACUUGCUAAAUCCCAGCUAUGUUUUCAUUAUUUGGUUUUCCUAGCAACUGGAUGAAUAUGCCUGUCCUGAAAAUGCGAGAGAUGAGAACGCUACCAAAUUCUUACAAAUUCGCAGUAGCGAGGCUGUUUUGAAGUUAUUAUUUUCUGCAAUUUCCUUUUGCACCAUGUAAUCUAAACCAACCUUUCUCAGAGGGGAAAGUGGUAUUAUAGCUAUAUAAUUAAAACUUGCAUUAAUGCUAGCUGGUGAAC